CCUAAAUGCCUGACACUCUGUCUCCUAGCAACUGAUGGCCUGGGCCCCUCCUCUGCAAAGGUGCCAGCUGAAGGUGUUGGAGACAAAGGGAUCAGGUGACCUCCUGGCCCGGGAAAGGGGCUGAGCAGAGAGGAGGGGCUGGGAGGGGGGUUGUUAGUCUGGAGCUGGCUGGGGUCAAGGGUGGAGGGCAGACAUGGGGGUCUGGCUCACUGCCCCCCAGAAUGGACCCAGCCGAGGGGUCCGGUUCUCUGUACCUACAAGCUCUGUUUUAGACCUUGUUCCUGUCAUUGAAUAAACCUCUGUUUUACUGGCUGGCUGAGAGUCACGUCUGACUGCAAAGUGGGGGUGCAGAACCCGGUGGCUUCCCCAGGACCCCGCUGGGGUGGACUCGCUGUGGGAAGCGCACGGAGGGGCAGAGGAUGCUGAAUGCUCCAAGGAGAGACCCAGGAGGUGAAGCCGUGUGAGCUUCUUGCCCUGAACAAGUCUGCUCCAAGGGAAAGGAGGCUCCCCAAAGUCCUGACUGGCUUGGUGGGGAGCAGUUCCAGAGCAUCGCCCGGGGA